GACGAACGCUGGCGGCGUGCUUAACACAUGCAAGUCGAACGAAGAGCGAUGGAAGCUUGCUUCUAUCAAUCUUAGUGGCGAACGGGUGAGUAACGCGUAAUCAACCUGCCCUUCUGAGGGGGACAACAGUUGGAAACGACUGCUAAUACCGCAUACGAUCUAACCUCGGCAUCGAGGAUGGAUGAAAGGUGGCCUCUAUUUAUAAGCUAUCACUGCAGGAGGGGAUUGCGUCUGAUUAGCUAGUUGGAGGGGUAACGGCCCACCAAGGCGAUGAUCAGUAGCCGGUCUGAGAGGAUGAACGGCCACAUUGGGACUGAGACACGGCCCAGACUCCUACGGGAGGCAGCAGUGGGGAAUCUUCCGCAAUGGACGAAAGUCUGACGGAGCAACGCCGCGUGAGUGAUGACGGCCUUCGGGUUGUAAAGCUCUGUUAAUCGGGACGAAAGGCCUUCUUGCGAAUAGUUAGAAGGAUUGACGGUACCGGAAUAGAAAGCCACGGCUAACUACGUG
rnacentral:rRNA from 1 species